rnacentral:rRNA from 1 species
AUUGAACGCUGGCGGCAUGCCUUACACAUGCAAGUCGAACGGCAGCACGGGUGCUUGCACCUGGUGGCGAGUGGCGAACGGGUGAGUAAUACAUCGGAACGUACCUUAUCGUGGGGGAUAACGCAGCGAAAGCUGUGCUAAUACCGCAUACGCCCUGAGGGGGAAAGCGGGGGAUCGCAAGACCUCGCGCGAUUAGAGCGGCCGAUGCCUGAUUAGCUUGUUGGUGGGGUAAAAGCCCCCCAAGGCGACGAUCAGUAGCUGGUCUGAGAGGACGAUCAGCCACACUGGGCCUGAGACAGGGCCCAGACUCCUACGGGAGGCAGCAGUGGGGAAUUUUGGACAAUGGGGGCAACCCUGAUCCAGCAAUGCCGCGUGAGUGAAGAAGGCCUUCGGGUUGUAAAGCUCUUUUGUCAGGGAAGAAACACCGGCUCUAACACAGUCCGGGAAUGACGGUACCUGAAGAAUAAGCACCGGCUAACUACGUGCCAGCCGCCGCCGUAA